AUUGAACGCUGGCGGCAUGCUUUACACAUGCAAGUCGAACGGUAACAGGCCUUCGGGUGCUGACGAGUGGCGAACGGGUGCGUAAUGCAUCGGAACGUACCCAGAGGUGGGGGAUAACGCAGCGAAAGCUGUGCUAAUACCGCAUGUGAUCUGAGGAUGAAAGCGGGGGACCGAGCAGCAAUGUUUGGCCUCGCGCCUUUGGAGCGGCCGAUGUCGGAUUAGCUAGUUGGUGGGGUAAAGGCCUACCAAGGCGACGAUCCGUAGCUGGUCUGAGAGGACGACCAGCCACACUGGGACUGAGACACGGCCCAGACUCCUACGGGAGGCAGCAAUGGGGAAUUUUGGACAAUGGGCGCAAGCCUGAUCCAGCAAUGCCGCGUGCGGGAAGAAGGCCUUCGGGUUGUAAACCGCUUUUGGCAGGAACGAAACGGUGUCCGCUAAUACCGGGCGCUAAUGACGGUACCUGCAGAAUAAGCACCGGCUAACUACGUG
rnacentral:rRNA from 1 species